AUUGAACGCUGGCGGCAUGCUUUACACAUGCAAGUCGAACGGUAACAGGCCGCAAGGUGCUGACGAGUGGCGAACGGGUGAGUAAUGCAUCGGAACGUGCCCAGUCGUGGGGGAUAACGCAGCGAAAGCUGCGCUAAUACCGCAUACGAUCUAUGGAUGAAAGCGGGGGACCGUAAGGCCUCGCGCGAUUGGAGCGGCCGAUGUCAGAUUAGGUAGUUGGUGGGGUAAAGGCUCACCAAGCCGACGAUCUGUAGCUGGUCUGAGGGGACGACCAGCCACACUGGGACUGAGACACGGCCCAGACUCCUACGGGAGGCAGCAGUGGGGAAUUUUGGACAAUGGGCGCAAGCCUGAUCCAGCAAUGCCGCGUGCAGGAAGAAGGCCUCGGUUGUAAACUGCUUUUGUAGGACGAAACGGCGUCUGGUUAAUAACCUGGGGCUAAUGACGGUACCGUAAGAAUAAGCACCGGCUAACUACGUGCCAGCAGCC
rnacentral:rRNA from 1 species